UUUUACUUGUGAGACCAUAACAGUGGCUGC
rnacentral:piRNA from 1 species